rnacentral:rRNA from 1 species
CCAGAGAUGGACUGGUGCCUUCGGGAACUGUGAGACAGGUGCUGCAUGGCUGUCGUCAGCUCGUGUUGUGAAAUGUUGGGUUAAGUCCCGCAACGAGCGCAACCCUUAUCCUUUGUUGCCAGCGAUUAGGUCGGGAACUCAAAGGAGACUGCCAGUGAUAAACUGGAGGAAGGUGGGGAUGACGUCAAGUCAUCAUGGCCCUUACGACCAGGGCUACACACGUGCUACAAUGGCGCAUACAAAGAGAAGCGACCU